CAUACUCCUUUUUUUUAAAGCUAGACUCUGUUGGAGUUUCUCUAUGUGUCAAAUGAAAACAACAUCAAAACUUGACUCAUUUUGUUCUGUUAAAAAUAUAUAUUCGGAGAACUUGUCAGCUUCUCGAAAUGCCUCUUUAUUCUCACACCACAGAUAGGUUGGGGUCACCACCUGGCCACCAGAUCAGGAACUACAGUGAUGCAUGCAGGGGCAGUGGCUUCAGGGGCAGUAGAGCAAACACACCUUGAAGUUUCCUGAGUGGUUGUCUUUCCGAGAUGGAGCCAUGGAGGAUGGCCGGCGCAUUUCUGAGGAUGCACAGGAGUAUAAGCCUCAUAUGGUGGUGCCCUAGAGGAAGUAUUGUUCGUACCUACUCUGUGGCCAGGACCCAUUUCAUCAGGCGAGAGAGCUGAUGUCCCACAGCACAGCAGAGAGCAGUAUCAUUGUAUCCACCAGGCAUGCCAACUGUCUGCUUUAGGGAGAACAAGCAACAGCCAACAUAUGAAUGUCCAAGGAAAUGAAUGGAGCUUGUCAUCUUCCAGAGUCUGGAUGCAGAGCUCCUAAAGGUCUGGACACAAGCGAAGGACCUGCAGAUCCAUCCAUGCAGCAGGACUUCUCUGAAGGUCAGAACAGAAGGCCAAUGAGGAUGCAGAAUACUGACUCAGGGGCUCUCAUCAAAACUGGAAACCCAGAUAGAAGUGGGGCCAAAUGUUACUGUUCUUACCUUCAGCCUUCAUUCAUGCAUGUUGAAGUAUGUGGAGAGCUUCCCUCAUCCAGCCACCAUGCUAGGCGUGGUUAUAGUGGGGAACAAAAGUAAGCACGAUCCCUCCUAUCUGGGAAUUUACCUCUUAGAGGGAAGUCAGGAAUUAAUAAAGUGGUUAUGCUAAUAAACUGA